CAUGGAGGUUGGUGCCUGGUCCUCAACACCAGGCUAUUCUGCAGCUCUCCCAUUCCCGGACAAAGCAGGAAUGCCAGGAAUGUGAAAUCCCGGCACGCCACCCCCAUGCCCCCCCCUCCACCCCGUGUCCCUGUCCUGUCGCAAGAACAGGAUAUUCGCCCAAGCAACAUCCACUCACACACAGUUCGCUAUCAGGAAAAAACACUCAGUCAGCGUCUGGAGGGGCUGAUGGGCCGACAGGGCUUCUGUAUGGGGAGCAGGAGUGGGAGCUGCACAGGAGCUUCAGCACGUGGGGGCUGCAGUCAGGCAUCAGAGUAGACAGGAGAAUCCAAAAUGUGGGGAUUUAACUCCAUGCUGGUGCUGUCUGACUUCAGGUAAAAUGGGCUGGGGGCUUCUUUGUGGGUGCCCCCAGCCGCAUGGACGCGUCCCACUGGCAGUGCAGGCUCCAUAAAUCUGUCCUGUCCCAGGGCCGGUGAGUCACCCAGCAGAAAUGCAUACAGCCUUUCCACACUGACUCACACCGCUGCCCGCCGCUCCCCUCUGCCCCACGCCACUGGGCCAGGAGAAAACCCCACAUCCCCCUGGUAUAACCCACGCACCGGUGGCCGUGUGCUAACAGUGGCAUCGGUGGUGACGGUGGCAGGUGGGAAGUGCUGCCAAGCACUUUGAGCAGCCCCCGUGCCAAAACACAGGAAGUGCGCUGAGCAAUCACCCCGCGCAUUGUCAGCUCCAAAAACACCAAAGCAAAACAAAACAAAACAAAAUAAUUAAAAAAAAAAAAAGAAGAAGAAGAAGAAGAAUAGGUCUAAGUAGAACAAUUGCCCAGGAGAAAAGAGAAAAAAAUAAAAAUAAAAAAUUAAGAAAAAAACCAGAGGCCAAGGGGCCUGGCCUGGCGCCAAGACCCUUGUUUUCGCUUCCCAACACAAUGCACGUUAAAUAAUACUUCCUUCUCGCAACACGGCCCUCUUGGGCCGCCCCUGUUUGUCGCGGGGUCCGAGCUUAGGGUAAAUGGCCCCGGGGCAGCUGCUCUGCUCUGCCCCCGCUGCCCCUGCCUGCUCCCACUGCUGCUGAGGAGGAGAGAGGGCACCUGGUGGUUCUCGGUGCCCUCCCAGCCUCUGCCACCCGUUGGCAGACUGGGGCUGAGAUGACCUGUGGGGUGGGAGCUCCCCAAGGUCAACCACGCAGCCAUCCCAAG
ensembl:lncRNA